rnacentral:misc_RNA from 1 species
GAUGAAGAACGUAGCGAAAUGCGAUAAGUAAUGUGAAUUGCAGAAUUCAGUGAAUCAUCGAAUCUUUGAACGCACAUUGCGCCCGCCAGUAUUCUGGCGGGCAUGCCUGUUCCAGCGUCAUUACAACCCUCAGGCCCCCGGGCCUGGCGUUGGGGAUCGGCAGAAGCCCCCUGUGGGCACACGCCGUCCCUCAAAUACAGUGGCGGUCCCGCCGCAGCUUCCAUUGCGUAGUAGCUAACACCUCGCAACUGGAGAGCGGCGCGGCCAUGCCGUAAAACACCCAACUUCUGAAUGUUGACCUCGAAUCAGGUAGGAAUACCCGCUGAACUUAAGCAUAUCAAUAAGCGGAGGA